UACAGAGGGUGCAAGCGUUAAUCGGAAUUACUGGGCGUAAAGGGUGCGUAGGUGGUCUAAUAAGUUAGGUGUGAAAGUCCUGGGCUUAACCUGGGGAUUGCGCUUAAGACUGUGAGACUAGAGUACUGUAGAGGAAGGUGGAAUUUCCGGUGUAGCGGUGAAAUGCGUAGAUAUCGGAAGGAACAUCAGUGGCGAAGGCGACUUUCUGGACAGAUACUGACACUGAGGCACGAAAGCGUGGGGAGCAAACAGG
rnacentral:rRNA from 1 species